GACGAACGCUGGCGGCGUGCCUAAUACAUGCAAGUAGAACGCACAGUUUAUACCGUAGCUUGCUACACCAUAGACUGUGAGUUGCGAACGGGUGAGUAACGCGUAGGUAACCUGCCUGGUAGCGGGGGAUAACUAUUGGAAACGAUAGCUAAUACCGCAUAAUAUUAAUUAUUGCAUGAUAAUUAAUUGAAAGGUGCAAUUGCACCACUACCAGAUGGACCUGCGUUGUAUUAGCUAGUAGGUGAGGUAACGGCUCACCUAGGCGACGAUACAUAGCCGACCUGAGAGGGUGAUCGGCCACACUGGGACUGAGACACGGCCCAGACGCCUACGGGAGGCAGCAGUAGGGAAUCUUCGGCAAUGGACGAAAGGCUGACCGAGCAACGCCGCGUGAGUGAAGAAGGGUUUCGGAUCGUAAAGCUCUGUUGUAAGAGAAGAACGGGUGUGAGAGUGGAAAGUUCACACUGUGACGGUAUCUUACCAGAAAGGGACGGCUAACUACGUG
rnacentral:rRNA from 1 species